rnacentral:misc_RNA from 1 species
GAUGAAGAACGUAGCAAAAUGCGAUACUUGGUGUGAAUUGCAGAAUCCCGUGAACCAUCGAGUUUUUGAACGCAAGUUGCGCCCGAAGCCUUUUGGCCGAGGGCACGUCUGCCUGGGCGUCACGCAUCGCGUCGCCCCCCACAAUUCUCCGUAAAGGGAACGUGUGUUUUGGGGGCGGAUAUUGGUCUCCCGUGCUCAUGGCGUGGUUGACCGAAAUAGGAGUCCUUUCGAUGGACGCACGAACUAGUGGUGGUAGUAAAACCCCUCGUCUUUUGUUUCGUGCUGUUGCUCGCAAGGUAAACUCUUUAAAAACCCCAAUGUGUCGUCUCUUGACGACGCUUCGACCGCGACCCCAGGUCAGGCGGGACUACCCGCUGAGUUUAAGCAUAUCAAUAAGCGGAGGA